rnacentral:rRNA from 1 species
GGAUGCCCUGGCAGUCAGAGGCGAUGAAGGACGUGCUAAUCUGCGAUAAGCGUCGGUAAGGUGAUAUGAACCGUUAUAACCGGCGAUUUCCGAAUGGGGAAACCCAGUGUGUUUCGACACACUAUCAUUAACUGAAUCCAUAGGUUAAUGAGGCGAACCGGGGGAACUGAAACAUCUAAGUACCCCGAGGAAAAGAAAUCAACCGAGAUUCCCCCAGUAGCGGCGAGC